rnacentral:rRNA from 1 species
GACGGAGGAUGCAAGUGUUAUCCGGAAUCACUGGGCGUAAAGCGUCUGUAGGUGGUUUAAAAAGUCCACUGUUAAAAAUUGAAGCUUAACUUCAAAGAUGCCGUGGAAACUUUUAAACUGGAGUAUGGUAGGGGUAGAGGGAAUUUCCAGUGGAGCGGUGAAAUGCGUAGAUAUUGGAAAGACCACCAAUGGCGAAGGCACUCUACUGGGCCAUGACUGACACUGAGAGACGAAAGCUAGGGGAGCAAAUGGGAUUAGAAACCCCAGUAGUCC